UAAUACGAAGGGGGCUAGCGUUGCUCGGAAUGACUGGGCGUAAAGGGCGCGUAGGCGGCGCACUUAGUCGGGCGUGAAAGUCCUGGGCUCAACCUGGGGACGGCGCUCGAUACGGGUGUGCUUGAGUGGGGAAGAGGGUCGUGGAAUUCCCAGUGUAGAGGUGAAAUUCGUAGAUAUUGGGAAGAACACCGGUGGCGAAGGCGGCGACCUGGUCCUUGACUGACGCUGAGGCGCGAAAGCGUGGGGAGCAAACAGGAUUAGAUACCCUGGUAGUCCACGCCGUAAACGAUGUGCGCUGGAUGUUGGGAAACUUUGUUUCUCAGUGUCGUAGCCAACGCGAUAAGCGCACCGCCUGGGGAGUACGGCCGCAAGGUUGAAACUCAAAUGAAUUGACGG
rnacentral:rRNA from 1 species